rnacentral:lncRNA from 1 species
GAAACUGGGCGGAUGAAAACUGGGUGUAUGAAUGGGGUGAUGGAAAUUGGGCGGGGAGAUGCAGGGUUAACCGCAAAAUGAAUUGCGGUUAACACCUGCCGCACUACGAAGUGCGGAUUUGGUGGCGCCGCAACUGGAUCAGCGGCUGAUGGCAACCGCAGGUGGAUCUGUGAUUGGUUGGUUUUGGGAGUGCGUCUUAGUUGUCCGCAGUUUGCACUACGGCUAAACUGAAACACAAUUCGUUCUGCGGUUGGUUUUUGUCCCUACACAUGUUUUCAGUUUAUUUGUUAUAUUUAAUUAUUGUUUUCGGAUUAAAAUUUUAAUUUUUUUU